CUAAACUUUUUUAUUACAACAUUUAUUCUAAACCAACGUUUCGGGGCAUGCUCCUUCAUCCUUGAUGAAGGGGCAUGCCCCGAAACGUUGGUUUAGAAUAAAUGUUGUAAUAA
rnacentral:pre_miRNA from 1 species